UACGUAGGGUGCAAGCGUUGUCCGGAAUUAUUGGGUGUAAAGAGCUCGUAGGCGGUUUGUCGCGUCUGCUGUGAAAACCUAAGGCUCAACCUUGGGCUUGCAGUGGGUACGGGCAGACUAGAGUGCGGUAGGGGUGACUGGAAUUCCUGGUGUAGCGGUGGAAUGCGCAGAUAUCAGGAGGAACACCGAUGGCGAAGGCAGGUCACUGGGCCGCAACUGACGCUGAGGAGCGAAAGCAUGGGGAGCGAACAGG
rnacentral:rRNA from 1 species